UACGUAGGUGGCAAGCGUUGUCCGGAUUUACUGGGCGUAAAGGGCUCGUAGGCGGUUUGUCGCGUCGGGAGUGAAAACACCGGGCUUAACUCGGUGCUUGCUUUCGAUACGGGCAGACUAGAGGCAUGCAGGAGAGAACGGAACUCCUGGUGUAGCGGUGAAAUGCGCAGAUAUCAGGAGGAACACCGGUGGCGAAGGCGGUUCUCUGGGCAUGUCCUGACGCUGAGGAGCGAAAGUGUGGGGAGCGAACAGG
rnacentral:rRNA from 1 species